rnacentral:tRNA from 1 species
GGGCUCGUAGCUCAAUGGUUAGAGCAUCUGGCUCAUAACCAGGUGGUUCCAGGUUCAAGUCCUGGCGGGCCCA